rnacentral:rRNA from 1 species
GCCCUUGGCCGCUGAGAGUUUGAUCCUGGCUCAGAACGAACGUUGGCGGCGUGGAUUAGGCAUGCAAGUCGAGGGAAUCCCAGGGCAACCUGGGGGAACCGGCGUAAGGGGCAGUAAGGCAUGGGUAACCUACCCCGAGGUCCGGGAUAGCCAUCAGAAAUGGUGGGUAAUACCGGAUGAUCUCGUGAGAGCAAAGGUCCGCCGCCUCGGGAGGGGCCCAUGUGGUAUUAGCUAGUUGGUAGGGUAAUGGCCUACCAAGGCGAAGAUGCCUAGCUGGUGUGAGAGCACGACCAGCGCCACUGGCACUGAGACACUGGCCAGACACCUACGGGUGGCUGCAGUCGAGAAUCUUCGGCAAUGGGCGCAAGCCUGACCGAGCGACGCCGCGUGCGCGAUGAAGACCUUCGGGUUGUAAAGCGCUGUCGAGGGGAGGAAAAGCCCCGCAAGGGUUUGAUCGGCCCCUGGAGGAAGCACGGGCUAAGUUCGUGCCAGCAGCCGCGGUAAGACGAACCGUGCGAACGUUGUUCGGAAUCACUGGGCUUAAAGGGUGCGUAGGCGGGUUGUCCAGUCUGGGGUGAAAUCCCACGGCUCAACCGUGGAAUUGCCUCAGAUACUGACGACCUCGAGGGAGGUAGGGGCGAGCGGAACUGUGGGUGGAGCGGUGAAAUGCGUUGAUAUCCACAGGAACUCCGGUGGCGAAGGCGGCUCGCUGGACCUCUUCUGACGCUGAGGCACGAAAGCUAGGGGAGCAAACGGGAUUAGAUACCCCGGUAGUCCUAGCCCUAAACGAUGAGGACUAGGUAGUAGGCUAGACAUGGGCUUACUGCCGAAGCAAAAGUGCUAAGUCCUCCGCCUGGGGAGUAUGGCCGCAAGGCUGAAACUCAAGGAAUUGACNGGGGCUCACACAAGCGGUGGAGCAUGUGGCUUAAUUCGAGGCUACNCGAGANCUUAUCCUGGGCUUGACAUGUGCGAAAGCGCCGGGAAGUAGGACCC